GGGCUGGGGCUCAGUGGCUGAGUGCUCGCCUCGCAUACGUGAGGCACUGGGUUCGAUCCUCAGCACCACA
rnacentral:tRNA from 1 species